CACUCCCUGGCGUGUUUGCCAGUCGGCGAUGUCCCUGAGCCGAUUCGCACUACCCUGAAGUUGCACGUUGGGCUGGUGUGCAUGUCCGCUAGACGGAAAGCCUUAAAGCCUACUGCAUCUUCCACCUUGAACUUUCGGGUUCAAGGGCUAAGUCGACAGCGGCUCUGUCGGGGAGCCU
rnacentral:other from 1 species